UGACCGUGGACAAUAUGGUACU
rnacentral:miRNA from 12 species